rnacentral:rRNA from 1 species
AUUGAACGCUGGCGGCAUGCCUUACACAUGCAAGUCGAACGGCAGCACGGGAGCAAUCCUGGUGGCGAGUGGCGAACGGGUGAGUAAUAUAUCGGAACGUGCCCAGUCGUGGGGGAUAACGUAGCGAAAGCUACGCUAAUACCGCAUACGAUCUAUGGAUGAAAGCGGGGGAUCGCAAGACCUCGCGCGAUUGGAGCGGCCGAUAUCAGAUUAGGUAGUUGGUGAGGUAAAGGCUCACCAAGCCGACGAUCUGUAGCUGGUCUGAGAGGACGACCAGCCACACUGGAACUGAGACACGGUCCAGACUCCUACGGGAGGCAGCAGUGGGGAAUUUUGGACAAUGGACGCAAGUCUGAUCCAGCCAUUCCGCGUGCAGGAUGAAGGCCCUCGGGUUGUAAACUGCUUUGUACGGAACGAAAGGUUUCUCUUAAUACGAGGAGCUCAUGACGGUACCGUAAGAAUAAGCACCGGCUAACUACGUG